rnacentral:lncRNA from 1 species
AAAGACACUUUCACCCUUGAUUCUAAAAUUGUGUAAAUUUAUAUCCUAAAAGUACAGCCCUGUUUUCAAGGCAUACUGUCUUUAGUUGAGUGAAUGGCACACUAGCUAUCAGGUUGCAAAAGGUGGGAGAGAAAAAGUAGAAGGAGGGUGGGAGGGAUUCCAAGACAAUUGAGCCACCUGAGAAAAGACACAGUGGCAAGAGAAUGCUGCCUGUGUCUGAAUCUGAGCCAAGUGUAUAGAGUCCAAAGAAGGAGGGGUCAGUAGAAGGCUAGAAACAAAGGUUGUAGUUUAUGAAGAGAAUUUCUCAAGUCAAUGAGUUGCCAUCUGGCCUUCCUACCAACCUGCUGUUCUACUUCUGGUCUUUGAGCAAGCAAUAAAUUAUGUGUAUCACACUGAGUUUCCUCGGCAUAUCCCAUACCUCACAUUUUGCACUGUCUACCCUUCAUCAGCAGUAACAGCUAAAGCUGCUGAGUUCAGCACCUAUUAUCUUGUUAACAAGGUUUUCCCUUUAGCACUAACCCCUUGCAACUCAAUCUCUAAUGCUGACUGCUAAAAUGACUUGAUGUCCAGAUGUAGAUUCACCAUCUGAGUCAGGAGCUCUGAAAUCUGUGCCUGCACUGUGAAACAUGUUGGCCGAUGUGAUAAUGAUUUAUUUCCAGCACAACUUAUGUGAAUAUCUCAAAG